UGGAUUAGUGGCGAACGGGUGAGUAACACGUGGGCAAUCUGCCCUGCACUUCGGGACAAGCCCUGGAAACGGGGUCUAAUACCGGAUACGACCAUCGGCCGCAUGGCCUGGUGGUGGAAAGCUCCGGCGGUGCAGGAUGAGCCCGCGGCCUAUCAGCUUGUUGGUGGGGUGAUGGCCUACCAAGGCGACGACGGGUAGCCGGCCUGAGAGGGCGACCGGCCACACUGGGACUGAGACACGGCCCAGACUCCUACGGGAGGCAGCAGUGGGGAAUAUUGCACAAUGGGCGGAAGCCUGAUGCAGCGACGCCGCGUGAGGGAUGACGGCCUUCGGGUUGUAAACCUCUUUCAGCAGGGAAGAAGCGCAAGUGACGGUACCUGCAGAAGAAGCACCGGCUAACUACGUGCCAGCAGCCGCGGUAAUACGUAGGGUGCGAGCGUUGUCCGGAAUUAUUGGGCGUAAAGAGCUCGUAGGCGGCGUGUCACGUCGGAUGUGAAAGCCCGGGGCUUAACCCUGGGUCUGCAUUCGAUACGGGCAGGCUAGAGUUCGGUAGGGGAGAUCGGAAUUCCUGGUGUAGCGGUGAAAUGCGCA
rnacentral:rRNA from 1 species